UUGUGCUUUUAGAAGCAUUCCGGC
rnacentral:miRNA from 1 species